UUGUCAAAAUGAUAGAAUUAAAUAUAAAUAAAUAUAAACGAGAGGAUCGGUAUCCAUAAGAACCAAAAAUUAUUCGAAAUAUAGGUCAAUAGGUCGAUCCACUUGAUACAAAAGUUGGUCUUAUCAGGUUCCCUCUUAGAAAGAAUAAAAAAAGGAGCUAUUAAAGGCAACUUUAAAAAUUGAGUCACGUAACUGAAUAAAUUUGUUGAAAUUAAAUUCUACGAGUCGGCUGGAUUUCCGUCAAGAAGAACAGACAAACGAGCCCAGAGAGUCCAAUUAAAGAUGGAAUAGCAGCGGAUACGUGUUCGAGGACCAACAAGAAUCUCGUCGAUAAAGUGUAUAAUUAUUUUAAGCUGCGAUUUUUUCAGCACUAGCUGUUUUCCGAAAGCUCUAUACAAGUCGACAGAUUUUUGUCGCCACCUGUCCAAAAUUCACGAACGCUCUAUAAAAUUAUCGCAUGUGUGGCGAACUUGUAGCUACAGCCGAUAAAACAGAGAAAAGGGGUGAGCUUUUGAUAAUGGCACGUGGCACAGAGCUUGCACGACCUUACCAACAAGCAGCACUCGUCGGUUCUCGUACUUCACAAAACCACGUCUCAGAAACAUACCGUUUGCGCUUUUAUAUUAGACCAGUGACAAUAUCACGUACCUAUUCUACUUGUGAGGUUAUUUUUACGUAUUGACGGGCGCAAAGGAAGCAGAAGAUCGAUUUGCUCAUCCUUUAGCCUUGAAUACUUUUGUGGUGUGUGUAUUGAGUGAACUGAAUACUUCGAAUGAUACAGCGUUCGUUUAACCACGUAUCUUUUUGAUUUUUGUAUAUAUUUAAUUUACAUAUGCUACUUAAAUAUUUUUAUUAAUUUACUAAUCGUAACAAUGGUAAAUAUUAUAGCAAAUAUAAUAACAAAGAUCUAUGCUCCUCUUACUCAAGAUAGAAAAAAUCAAGAAUGGCAAUUGUCGUAGGAGUAUUACGUGUAACUCUUCAACAAUGAAGUAUUUUCCUUGUUAAAAUUCUUAAUAAACAACACGAAAAAAUUGUUUCAAAAAUUUAAUAAACGUCUCAGUAAUAUGCACCUUUUUUUAAUUCCGUGACGUUUAGCGAGACUUAACCUUCGCAUUCCUCUCGCGAAAUGAAAUUUUCUUAAUUGCCUCACUUAUCCGACUUUUGUUAUUUUCUCUUGGUAUGUGCGUGCAUGCGUGUGUGUGAAAGUUGGAGGCAGAGAGUGAGAGGAAGAGGGAGAGAAAGAGAGAGAUAUUUUACUUCACUGAUACCCACCAAUCACAAUGAAACAGUUUCAAACUGUUCACGAAAGUUAGACAGAAAUUUGUAAAGUCCGGCCACGCGUGGGUUCUACUACUUAUCAGUAGCCAUCCCUAUAAUUUUGUCACAACUUAAAAAAUUUCGCACAAGUUCAUUACCGUGAUAUUAUACAAAUCCAUGGUAUGGUCUUAGUAGUAGAUAUAGCUAAAAAUAAUGAAAUGUUUAUUUGAUGUUUCAAUUAAACAGCAAAAUAUAAAUAAUGUAAUAUUCGCCAUUUCUCUUCAUACCCCUCUUUUUAUAAAUAUAAACAACGAAAUAACCUAAUAAAGAACAUGUCAAACGUUUAUUUUUCUAACUGCAACAGAUUUGGUCGUUAUAUAAAACUGAUAGAUGAUUAAUCAUGCGUCAUCUUUUAAUUUACAAUAUCAUUUCUAUGUAUGUAUAUAUCAAUUCUAACUGGAUUUAAUCAUACCCGGAAAUAUCACCGCAAUUACGUCAACUUACCACUACUGGAAGAUGGAACUAGUCAGUCAGUCAUAAAAUUUCUCAUUUAAAAACCAUUUGUAAUAUCUAAAUCAAAUAUCAUUUCAUCAUUUUAUUUCAUUAUUUCGCUUUUAAAAGAAAGCUCCUCUUAAAUGCUUCCAAUAAAGAAGAAAUAAUAAUAAAUACUUUUUGAAUGUAAAAUAAUCGCAGCCGACGCAUUCGUUUUGAAGACCUAUCGUGCGGUUGCUUCGAGCUUAGCCUAGGAAUAAAUGUAGUUAGGAAGCGUCGAUGCAUGCUUCAAAAGGAAGAAAUUGUCGCAGAAGAAUUAAGUCGAUCGAAUAAGAAUUCGAUCCAUCUCCAGUCCAUCUCCUCGAAACCAAUCCAGUUCUAGACAGAUUAAUUACACCGGAUAAUAAACGAGGGUUGCGCAAGAAUAUCAGCAAAAAGAAUAUUUCCCAUUACUGGGGAAAGUCAGCGAAACUUGCGUUUAAAGAAAAUGUUAAGUUGCGUCACGGGAGGAAGAAGCUCGGUACGUUAUGUAUGUUAAAAAAAACCGAACUCAUUGAAACUGAAAAAGAUUGUUACUAUUUAGACGAAUGAAGUAUUGUCGUUAAAGAGAAGUAGCGCGCACUUAUUAACAAAAGAAAAAUGGUCUUUCAUCUCUAAGUACUAUAAAGCUCGUCUACAUCUGAUUCAAGGAAAGAAAUUCCAUGAAGAAAGAAUUGCAUGACUCGAGCUGACAACUAAUUAGUCAUCCAUCACAUUCUCGCGACUUCAUUAUACACUAUCAUUCUUUCUUAUCGCGAGAACAAAUUUUCUUGGAGUAAUGAAAAAACUUGAUGGUUAUGAAGAAGUCGAAGACUUAUAGUCUCGAAAUAUUUUAAACUAAUCAAUGUGAAUUUUUAUAGCAAGAAAAUAGCAUAAACCGACCAUUAUGUUCUACUAACUAUACUUUAAAACUAGCGAUCUUGUCUCACUAAUUAUUCACGACUAUAUAUAUACAUAUACAUAUAUAUAUUUAUGUCUGUUUCAACAACACAAAAGAUAGAUGAGAAAAGGGACUUCUAAGAUAAUUUUACAAUAUAAUACAAGUUGAGAAGGUACAAGAUCAUGAAACGUAAAUGAAGAAAGAAAUAUACAUGUCGGAGAUGAAAGGAAAGCCGAAGCCUUUCCUUGGAAAUUUUGGGAACAUCCUCUAGUACCUUAGCCUAGAUUUUAUUAUAGUUGUAAUUGCUUAAGAUUUGUAAUAAGCGAGAUUGGGUUCGAGGUGACAAUCGGUCGCUGAACGUAGCCACGGUCACGGGAUGGAUGUUUUAUCUAACGGAGGUCUGGAGUGGUUGUAUGUGUUUUCCGAGAAAUGUGGUUGUGGCGGCAUGCGGCCUCGAGAGCGGGCCUAGCCACGUGUGAUGUUGCCUCGGAGGUGCCGAUGCAAUGGGACAUACAUUGUAUUAGUAAUCAAAACUCCAGGCAGAAACUGCCUAGCAACGGCGUUUGGAACUUUCUCGAUGCUUCCAACGAGUGUGCCUAGCAACGGCGUUUGGAACCUUCUCGAUGCUUCCAAACGGGUAUAGAAAACAAAAUGCAAUCGUACAGGAAGAAAAAUCUCCACGAGGCUGGCAUUCUUGCGAUUGCCUUGGAGAGUGAUACAUCGAGCAUUUUCGACGAUCGCAUUUGCGUCUAAGUUAGUUUCGCUUAGUAAGGAGUUAUCCCGGUGACCGUGGAUUCGUUUGAACUCAAACAUUGCUAAUAGUAUUAUUUAAUUUAAUUAUUCGUAGAUCGUAUUAUUCAUUAGGCUUAGUGUUUGUUAGACUUAUUAUUAGUUGUACUUAUUAUUUGUUAAGCUUAGUGAUAGACCUGUAUAUACGUGUAAAUAAAAUCUUGGCUUUGUGAAACGAUGGCUAGUCCACAUGAAGAGUCGUCGCGCGCCCAAAAUUCGAAUCGUGAUCCGACAUAC